rnacentral:rRNA from 1 species
GACGAACGCUGGCGGCGUGCUUAACACAUGCAAGUCGAACGAUGAAGAAAAGAAUUGAAGCUUCGGCAGAAAUUCAUCUCGGAUUAGUGGCAGACGGGUGAGUAACGCGUGAGCAACCUACCUCUUACAAAGGGAUAGCCUCGGGAAACCGGGAUUAAUACCAUAUAACAUUGCGACGAAGCAUUUCGAUGCAAUCAAAGCUACGGCGGUAAGAGAUGGGCUCGCGUCCCAUUAACCAGAUGGUGAGGUAACGGCUCACCAUAGUAACGAUGGGUAACCGGCCUGAGAGGGUGAACGGUCACACUGGAACUGAGACACGGUCCAGACUCCUACGGGAGGCAGCAGUGGGGAAUAUUGCACAAUGGAGGGAACUCUGAUGCAGCGACGCCGCGUGAGUGAUGAAGGAAUUCGUUUCGUAAAACUCUGUUCUAUGGGAAGAAAAGGACUGUACCAUAGGAGAAAGCUCCGGCUAAAUACGUG